rnacentral:lncRNA from 1 species
ACAAGUAGGAUUAAUAUAUCUGUCCAAAAAUAGAACAAACAUUAGACAUUGUUAGAUAUGAGUAAUUUUGUUAGAACCAACCAAAGGGGUGUCUUUUAUCAAGUUUCGGGAUAAAGUUUCACUUGUAUGUACGUUGGAAGAACAAAAAGAUUUAGAAAAUUGUAUGUAGAAAAAUUGAUGAUAAGUUGGAACAAUUUUGUACGGACAACCAUGUUAUAAACCUGACCACCAAAUCUGCAAAAGUAUUAUAUACUCUACACUGAAGAUGAUUGUAACAAUUUUGGGAAGAUGAUAUAACUUAAUAACAAAUGAAUGUAUGUAUUGGGAAAUAUUACAAAUGUUGAUGUAGCAAACACUACCCCAGCUUGGCCCUCUUUGGCUCUAUGCAGAAGAUAAUUGGUUGUAGAGAACCCCUUAGUAUGCUAAAGUAUAAGAAGUACCCUACUUUUGGUAGCAAGGAACAGACUUGUUGACAAGGAAUAGAUUUUGGUUAUAUGGCUGUGUCUGGUGUAGAACAAAGAAAAUACUAAGCUGACCCAUUAUAAGGUAUGGUUAAGUAAAAAAAUUGCCAUGUGCUGGCAAGUUAUAUUGCCUAAAGUGAGGAUUUAAACUAGCUAAUGACACAUCUGAUUAUGAAUACACAUUGAUUUCUAUACAUAUUAGAUGGAACAUAAAGCUGCA